GACGAACGCUGGCGGCGUGCUUAACACAUGCAAGUCUGAACGAGAAGAGAUGAGAAGCUUGCUUCUUAUCAAUUCGAGUGGCAAACGGGUGAGUAACGCGUAAGCAACCUGCCCUUCAGAUGGGGACAACAGCUGGAAACGGCUGCUAAUACCGAAUACGUUCUUUUUGUCGCAUGGCAGAGGGAAGAAAGGGAGGCUCUUCGGAGCUUUCGCUGAAGGAGGGGCUUGCGUCUGAUUAGCUAGUUGGAGGGGUAACGGCCCACCAAGGCGACGAUCAGUAGCCGGUCUGAGAGGAUGAACGGCCACAUUGGGACUGAGACACGGCCCAGACUCCUACGGGAGGCAGCAGUGGGGAAUCUUCCGCAAUGGACGAAAGUCUGACGGAGCAACGCCGCGUGAACGAUGACGGCCUUCGGGUUGUAAAGUUCUGUUAUACGGGACGAAUGGCGUAGCGGUCAAUACCCGUUACGAGUGACGGUACCGUAAGAGAAAGCCACGGCUAACUAC
rnacentral:rRNA from 1 species